rnacentral:rRNA from 1 species
AGAGUUUGAUCAUGGCUCAGAAUGAACGCUGGCGGCGUGCCAACACAUGCAAGUCGAGCGCGAAAGCGGCUUCGGUCGUGAGUAGAGCGGCGGACGGGUGAGUAACACGUGGAUAACCUGCCUGGAAGUGGGGAAUAACUCAGAGAAAUUUGAGCUAAUACCGCAUACGUUCGCUCCGUGCAAGCGGAAUGAACAAAGAUAGCCUCUUCUUGAAAGCUGUCGCUUCCAGAGGGAUCCGCGCCUGAUUAGCUAGUUGGUGAGGUAAUGGCUCACCAAGGCGACGAUCAGUAGCCGGCCUGAGAGGGUGAUCGGCCACACUGGAACUGAGACACGGUCCAGACUCCUACGGGAGGCAGCAGUGGGGAAUAUUGGACAAUGGGCGAAAGCCUGAUCCAGCAACGCCGCGUGGAGGAUGAAAGCCUUCGGGUUGUAAACUCCUGUCAGGUGGGACGAAAAGGUAUCGGUCAAUACCCGAUGCCCUUGACGGUACCACCGGAGGAAGCCCCGGCUAACUCCGUGCCAGCAGCCGCGGUAAUACGGAGGGGGCAAGCGUUAUUCGGAAUUAUUGGGCGUAAAGGGCGCGUAGGCGGCUUGACAAGUCAGUGGUGAAAUCCCUCGGCUCAA